rnacentral:rRNA from 1 species
UACGGAGGGUGCAAGCGUUAUCCGGAUUCACUGGGUUUAAAGGGUGCGUAGGCGGGUUGGUAAGUCCGUGGUGAAAUCUCCGAGCUUAACUCGGAAACUGCCGUGGAUACUAUCAAUCUUGAAUAUCGUGGAGGUAAGCGGAAUAUGUCAUGUAGCGGUGAAAUGCUUAGAUAUGACAUAGAACACCAAUUGCGAAGGCAGCUGGCUACAGGGAUAUUGACACUGAGGCACGAAAGCGUGGGGAGCAAACGGG